CCUACGGGUGGCAGCAGUGAGGAAUAUUGGUCAAUGGACGAGAGCCUGAACCAGCCAAGUAGCGUGAAGGAUGACUGCUCUAUGGGUUGUAAACUUCUUUUAUAUGGGAAUAAAAUGUUCCACGUGUGGGAUUUUGUAUGUACCAUAUGAAUAAGGAUCGGCUAACUCCGUGCCAGCAGCCGCGGUAAUACGGAGGAUCCGAGCGUUAUCCGGAUUUAUUGGGUUUAAAGGGAGCGUAGGUGGAUUGUUAAGUCAGUUGUGAAAGUUUGGGGCUCAACCGUAAAAUUGCAGUUGAAACUGGCAGUCUUGAGUACAGUAGAGGUAGGCGGAAUUCGUGGUGUAGCGGUGAAAUGCUUAGAUAUCACGAAGAACUCCGAUUGCGAAGGCAGCUCACUGGACUGUAACUGACACUGAGGCUCGAAAGUGUGGGGAUCAAACAGGAUUAGAUACCCCUGUAGUC
rnacentral:rRNA from 1 species